rnacentral:rRNA from 1 species
AACGAACGCUGGCGGCGUGCCUAACACAUGCAAGUCGAACGAGAAAGUCCCGUUCGCGGGAUUAGUAAAGUGGCGCACGGGUGAGUAACACGUGGAUAAUCUGCCCCUAAGCGAGGAAUAACAUUUCGAAAGGAAUGCUAAUACCUCAUAAUGUUAUUUUUUCUUCGGAAAGAAUAGCCAAAGGUGACCUCUGUCUCAAGUUGCCGCUUAGAGAUGAGUCCGCGGCCCAUUAGCUAGUUGGUAGGGUAAAAGCCUACCAAGGCGACGAUGGGUAGCUGGUCUGAGAGGAUGAUCAGCCACACUGGAACUGAGAUACGGUCCAGACUCCUACGGGAGGCUG